UGGAAACACUAGCAACAGAAAGAAAUAAAACAUCUUAGUGGUCCGUCAUGGAGAAUCCGAAUGAAACCAGAAGAAAAUAUAAUCCCGAAACAUCCUGCAAUACCAGUCUAACAGAUAAAGUUAUUAUAUCAUCAUUUGCGUGCCUAUUGCUGAUUUGGGCACAAUCACACGAAAAUAGGAGCCAAAAUUGGAAACAAAUCCGAUCACAAUGACCGGAGUGUUUUGCUUGGUAGCCAUAUCAAUUAAGUAGUUACUGUGUCCCCUAUAAUGCUAGCUGAAUAACAUAACACCAGAAAUUUGCGAUGCAGAAUCAAAAAAUCCCUGGUCGAGAAUAUUGAAAUCCAGAAACAAUCCCCGAUGAUUUUCACUCGCGAAAUGAUACGGUACCUGGAUUCACUGUGACCUUUUCGCUCACGGAAGAGGGAUCCGCACCACAGUACCACGACUUAUAUGGAGCAAAUUCAGAGAAGAACUCCGACCCAACCAGGAGCUGGAGGUUUCCCGGAAGGAACCGUAAAAGGCAACCGGACAGUAGCUCCUCAAAAGAGGCCACCGGGAAAGGAUAGUUUAAACCUUACUUAAGUCACCUAUCAAUGGCUUCAAGAAAAAAGAUUCAGAUAAGGACGAACAGGAGACCAAUACUGCUGUUACUGGUAAAACUAAUACCAUUAUGGUAUGUGCCUGGCAGGUCUACAAGCCCCAAUCAUUCAACCAGAUGGUACUGGAACUCAAUUCCUCGGCCUCGGACCUCGAAAGAAUACCGACUAUAUGAGGACCAUCGAAAGCAUACCGACUAUAUGAGGUUCUGUAUCAUCUGGGAAUAACUGAGCAAGAUUAUACCGGCUGUGCAGUCACGCUGAACCCGGUGCAGGUUUGCACCGCUGGCAGCAGCACAGAUUCUUCCCCG